AGGCUACCGAUUACCCAUUGUGGCCUUCUGAGUUCCCAAUUUUUACCUUUUCAGACCUUAAAACCCUAGUCUUCGACUCUCGCUUUGUCAGUGACUCUGCGCUCCUUGCUCAUUCAUCGGUCUCUAAAGGAUAAAUAUGAGUCGCUCUAGCAGGACUCUCUAUGUUGGUAAUCUUCCUGGAGAUAUUCGUGAGCGGGAAGUUGAGGAUUUGUUUUACAAGUAUGGACCAAUUGCACAUAUUGAUUUGAAACUUCCUCCAAGACCUCCUGGUUAUGCUUUUGUUGAGUUUAAAGAUGCUCAUGAUGCUGAUGAUGCUAUUCGUGGUCGUGAUGGCUAUGAUUUUGAUGGGCAUCGGUUGCGGGUUGAGCUGGCCCAUGGUGGUCGUGGUCACUCACUCUCUAAUGAUCGCCACAGUAGCCACAGCAGCAGUGGUCGAGGUCCUCGAGGAGGAGUGUCAAGGCGUUCUGACUAUCGAGUGUUAGUCACUGGAUUGCCCAGUUCUGCUUCAUGGCAAGAUCUUAAGGAUCACAUGCGUCGAGCUGGGGAUGUUUGUUUCUCCCAAGUUUUUCGUGAGGGGAGUGGGAUGUCUGGGAUAGUGGACUACACCAACUAUGAUGAUAUGAAGCAUGCUAUAAAAAAACUUGAUGAGUCUGAAUUUCGGAAUGCAUUUGGACGUGCAGUAAUAUAUGUUAAGGAAUACAAUUCAGGUCGCUCAAGAAGCCGAAGCCGCAGUCGCAGCCGGAGUCGUUCUUAUUCAGGAGGAAAGAAUGGCAGCCGUAGUCGUAAUCGAAGCCGAAGUUAUAGUCGUAGCAGGAGCAGAAGCAAAUCUCCUAAAGCCAAAUCUUCUCGACGUUCAAGAUCUCGUUCAAAGUCUCCAUCACGAUCCCCUUCUAGGUCAAAAGGACGCUCUAUGUCAAGCUAUAUGAAUCUAGCACUCUUCACACUGUAUAUAUAAUAUAUAUAUACAUAUACACACACACACACACUUGUGGCAUUCUAGACUUCCCUACUUCAUGUGAUGUUCUGUUUCAUCAGCAUUAACUUGUGGUCAUAAAUUGGAGAAUGAAACUUCCUUUUUGGUGCUUCAUGAGAGAAUAGUCUUAAAGGAAAAGGGGAACUAGACCUGAAAAGGGUAAGAGAACCAAAAAGUUAUGUUUUUGUUUCUGGUGCGAAAACCUCAUAUGUUUCUCAAGGAAAUCCUCAUUGUAUUUUUCUCUUUGUAAAUAUGAAGUCACUGUUUUUUUUAGAUCGGACUAUCUGCAGCAAUUUGUGGACUGCGUAUUAGGAACUUGAGUGGAUAUGGCUCAAUUGCCUACAACACUUUUGGUUGUUGAGGUAUGGCGUUCUCUGAAUGGCAGAUUUGGAAUCUUUAAUGAUGUCUCUCUGCUCUAAUGAGCAUCACCAUGGGUGCUAGAUUAUGAACAAAGAAGACAUGGAUUCUGAUGAUGAAGCUGGAUUUGGAACUGCUAAUUGAAAUUGGGAAUCACCAUCUAUUUGCAGCAGUAUAUUUUUAUUAGCUCCUAUGCUGCUAGUAUAAUAAGGAACAUAUAUCUGAUUAUCUGAUAGCUUUUAUUCUUUUGGUAUCUCAAGCAUUGGUGUUUUGUGGGGCAUCUAUAAUCUUGGCUAAGAAGUCUUUAAGUAGGUAACUUAUGUAGGUGAAUAAAUAUCAUAUACUGCAGUCCUUACACUGUUAAAUAUUUUGAUAAUUUGAUGUGGAAGUGGAAUCAAAGGUGUUGGGUGAAAGCUCUAAUGCAGAUCAUGUUGGGACUUAAAUUGGGUUCUUUCUGGAAAUUUUGCAGAUCUUUAUCAAGAUCCAGGUCCCCAGUGCCUUCUCGUAAGAAAGAAGUCAGUGAAAGCCCAAAGAAACGGAGUUCUAGCCCAAAGAAAAGGAGUUCUAGCCCAAAGAAACGGAGUUCUAGCCGCAGCCGCAGCCGCAGCAGGAGUUUAUCCAGGUAAGCUUGGGCGAUGACUGAUCAUUUACACCUGAAGCUGUGAAUGUGUGCCGCCACCCGAUAUCUUCUGUGUUACAUUUCACAGAUCAAGCAGAGUGAAUUCUCUAUAUUGCCUAAACCUUUUUGAGCUUGUUGGACAAUUUAUGGCAUCGGACCAGGUUAUACUUUGCUAUGUAUUUUUCUUAAGAAUUGCUAAAUACUAAUUCUUGGAGCUGUAUUAUUGGUUUAGGUAUUGUAUUUCUACAUAAUUGGUUGUUUGGAUGAUGACUAGUUUAUUAAUAACUCAAAAAAAAUGGUUUUUCUAA